rnacentral:rRNA from 1 species
UACGUAGGGGGCGAGCGUUGUCCGGAUUUAUUGGGCGUAAAGAGCUCGUAGGCGGUUUGGCAAGUCGGGUGUGAAAACUCCGGGCUCAACUCGGAGACGCCACUCGAUACUGCCAUGACUCGAGUCCGGUAGGGGAGUGCGGAAUUCCUGGUGUAGCGGUGAAAUGCGCAGAUAUCAGGAGGAACACCGAUUGCGAAGGCAGCUCGCUGGAACGUUACUGACGCUGAGACGCGAAAGCGUGGGGAGCAAACAGG